AUUAUUAAAAUAUAAAUAAUUAUUUUUAGAUUAGUAUUAAAUAUAUUUAUGAAAUUAAAAUAAUUUGGCGGUAUUUUAGUCUAUUCAGAGGAAUUUGUUUUAUAAUUGAUAAUCCGCAUUAUAUCUUACUUAUUAUAUUUAAUUUGUAUAUCGUUGUCAUUAGAAUAUUUUAUAAGAAUUAUAAUUUUCUUAAAUUAUUUAAAAUUUUAUGUCAAAUCAAGGUGCAGUUUAUAAAUAAGAAAAAAUGAAUUACAAUAAUAUUUAAUUAAAAUGGAUUAAAAAUUGAAAUAUUUUUAUGAAGGUGGAUUUGAUAGUAAAUUUUAGAAUUAUAUAAAAUUGAUUAUAGCUCUAAAAUAUGUAC
rnacentral:rRNA from 1 species